UAUCUCUGUAGAGUCUGCAUAUCAAUAAGCGGAGGAAAAGAAACUAACAUAGGAUUCCCUUAGUAACGGCGAGUGAAGCGGGAAGAGCUCAAAUUUGAAAUCUUCAAGGGUUCUACCUUUACGAAUUGUAGUUUAAAGAAGUGUUUUCUGUUGGAGUUUCGGUAAAAGUUCUUUGGAAUAGGACAUCAUAGAGGGUGAGAAUCCCGUAUUUGACCGUUACUUUCCAGCUGUGUGAUACACUUUCAAAGAGUCGGAUUGUUUGGGAAUGCAGUCCAAAAUGGGUGGUAAAUUUCAUCUAAAGCUAAAUAUUGGCGAGAGACCGAUAGCGAACAAGUACCGUGAGGGAAAGAUGAAAAGAACUUUGAAAAGAGAGUUAAACAGUACGUGAAAUUGUCAAAAGGGAAGCGUUUGACACCAGUGUUGUUUAGUUGAAAAUCAAUUCAAUAAUUUUUGAUUCUAAGUAGUAUUGACUUCAUCAGCUUGCUGCUUUCUUCUCAGAAAUUAUUUAAUGCACUUUUCAGUUAACAAGUCAACAUCAAUUUCUUUUGUUGUAAAAGGGUAAGAGGAAGGUGGCUUACCUUCGGUGCUCAAGUGUUUAUAGCCUUUUAUCUCUGCAAUCGGAGAGAUUGAGGUCAUGCAGCGUAGACUCCUUCGGGGUUAGAUACAUUGUGCUAAGCUAUAGCCUUGUAUAGACAACUUGUUGACUAUGCUCAGUCAUGUAGCUUACUCGCUGUAUGCUAUUUUACCUACGCUUAGGAUGUUGAACGCGCACAGAGUCUC
rnacentral:rRNA from 1 species